GAUGAACGCUGGCGGCGUGCCUAAUACAUGCAAGUCGAGCGAACGGACGAGAAGCUUGCUUUUCUGAUGUUAGCGGCGGACGGGUGAGUAACACGUGGAUAACCUACCUAUAAGACUGGGAUAACUUCGGGAAACCGGAGCUAAUACCGGAUAAUAUUUUGAACUGCAUGGUUCAAAAGUGAAAGACGGUCUUGCUGUCACUUAUAGAUGGAUCCGCGCUGCAUUAGCUAGUUGGUAAGGUAACGGCUUACCAAGGCAACGAUGCAUAGCCGACCUGAGAGGGUGAUCGGCCACACUGGAACUGAGACACGGUCCAGACUCCUACGGGAGGCAGCAGUAGGGAAUCUUCCGCAAUGGGCGAAAGCCUGACGGAGCAACGCCGCGUGAGUGAUGAAGGUCUUCGGAUCGUAAAACUCUGUUAUUAGGGAAGAACAUAUGUGUAAGUAACUGUGCACAUCUUGACGGUACCUAAUCAGAAAGCCACGGCUAACUACGUGCCAGCAGCCGCGGUAAUACGUAGGUGGCAAGCGUUAUCCGGAAUUAUUGGGCGUAAAGCGCGCGUAGGCGGUUUUCUAAGUCUGAUGUGAAAGCCCACGGCUCAACCGUGGAGGGUCAUUGGAAACUGGAAAACUUGAGUGCAGAAGAGGAAAGUGGAAUUCCAUGUGUAGCGGUGAAAUGCGCAGAGAUAUGGAGGAACACCAGUGGCGAAGGCGACUUUCUGGUCUGUAACUGACGCUGAUGUGCGAAAGCGUGGGGAUCAAACAGGAUUAGAUACCCUGGUAGUCCACGCCGUAAACGAUGAGUGCUAAGUGUUAGGGGGUUUCCGCCCCUUAGUGCUGCAGCUAACGCAUUAAGCACUCCGCCUGGGGAGUACGACCGCAAGGUUGAAACUCAAAGGAAUUGACGGGGACCCGCACAAGCGGUGGAGCAUGUGGUUUAAUUCGAAGCAACGCGAAGAACCUUACCAAAUCUUGACAUCCUUUGACAACUCUAGAGAUAGAGCCUUCCCCUUCGGGGGACAAAGUGGCAGGUGGUGCAUGGUUGUCGUCAGCUCGUGUCGUGAGAUGUUGGGUUAAGUCCCGCAACGAGCGCAACCCUUAAGCUUAGUUGCCAUCAUUAAGUUGGGCACUCUAAGUUGACUGCCGGUGACAAACCGGAGGAAGGUGGGGAUGACGUCAAAUCAUCAUGCCCCUUAUGAUUUGGGCUACACACGUGCUACAAUGGACAAUACAAAGGGCAGCGAAACCGCGAGGUCAAGCAAAUCCCAUAAAGUUGUUCUCAGUUCGGAUUGUAGUCUGCAGCUCGACUACAUGAAGCUGGAAUCGCUAGUAAUCGUAGAUCAGCAUGCUACGGUGAAUACGUUCCCGGGUCU
rnacentral:rRNA from 1 species